rnacentral:rRNA from 1 species
UACAGAGGGUGCGAGCGUUUAAUCGGAAUUACUGGGCGUAAAGCGCGCGUAGGCGGCUUUUCAAGUCGGAUGUGAAAUCCCCGGGCUUAACCUGGGAACUGCAUUCGAGACUGUCUAGCUAGAGUAUGGGAGAGGGAAGUGGAAUUUCAGGUGUAGCGGUGAAAUGCGUAGAUAUCUGAAGGAACAUCAGUGGCGAAAGCGACUUCCUGGACCAAUACUGACGCUCAUGUGCGAAAGCGUGGGGAGCAAACAGA